rnacentral:lncRNA from 1 species
AUGCGUGAAGAAGGAUACAUCCCGAGAACUGUAAAUGAGCACCUACAAGUUUCGUUAAGGACUGGUGCAUGUCACCUGUUGGCGUGCGCUUCCUUCGUUGGAAUGGACGAGAUAGCAACAAAGGACUCUUUUGAUUGGGUCUCUACCAUGCCUAAAAUCGUAAAAGCACUUUGCAUAAUUUUGAGACUAUUGGACGAUCUACAGACAUAUGAGGUAAUGUUAAUGUCUCAAACCUUAGCUAAAACUUCUGAGCUUUGAAGCCUGAUGUAUAUUUCGCAGCAUGGCUCUGUGCUCUAGCAAGUGCAUGCUGAUGACAUUCUCAAACAAUAUGGAUACAUGCAGUUUCAUUAAAAAACAUAUGGAUACAUGCAUUACUGCUUCACAUUUUAUAACCACCCUUUCUUUUACCAAAAUUGUACUGAGUUUUAUAUGGCAUUAAUAAUUUGUCCAUGCAGCGAGAGCAAUUGCACCCUCAUGUUGCUUCAACCAUCAAAAGCUACAUGAAAGAGCACAACGUCUCAAUUGAAAUUGCACGCAAGAAGAUAGAGGAACUGAAAGAGGAGACGUGGAAAGAUUUUAACGGCGAGUGGCUGAAUCCUGAUAAUGCAGUGCCUAGUUCGCUAUUGGAGAGGAUAUUCAAUUUGACCAGGACGAUGGAGUUCAUCUACAACCUGGAUGAUAAUUUCACGAACUGUCAGAACCUCAGAGAUACCAUCCACUUGUUGUUUGUGGAGCCCUUUCCUAUCUCCUAGUGCAAAUAAUUCCAACAAAUAAACAGUGUGUCGCCCAGUGCCAGAUGCCCAUGUCCACAUGCACCAUAUUCUUUGUACAAGUUUGUGAUUUGAGCUACUAGCUACUGUUCGUUUGGUGUUUAUUUGUAUUUGGAAGUAUUGCCUUGAUUUCAGUCACCGUGAUGAUUUUUUAAUGUACCUUGGGCCAAAGUGACAACCAGUCACAUUUUACUCAAAAAAAAAAAGAUA